GAUGAACGCUGGCGGCGUGCCUAAUACAUGCAAGUCGAGCGAACAGACGAGGAGCUUGCUCCUUCGACGUUAGCGGCGGACGGGUGAGUAACACGUAGGUAACCUACCUAUAAGACUGGGAUAACUUCGGGAAACCGGAGCUAAUACCGGAUAAUAUUUCGAACCGCAUGGUUCGAUAGUGAAAGAUGGCUUUGCUAUCACUUAUAGAUGGACCUGCGCCGUAUUAGCUAGUUGGUAAGGUAACGGCUUACCAAGGCAACGAUACGUAGCCGACCUGAGAGGGUGAUCGGCCACACUGGAACUGAGACACGGUCCUGACUCCUACGGGAGGCAGCAGUAGGGAAUCUUCCGCAAUGGGCGAAAGCCUGACGGAGCAACGCCGCGUGAGUGAUGAAGGUCUUCGGAUCGUAAAACUCUGUUAUUAGGGAAGAACAAACGUGUAAGUAACUGUGCACGUCUUGACGGUACCUAAUCAGAAAGCCACGGCUAACUACGUG
rnacentral:rRNA from 1 species